rnacentral:rRNA from 1 species
UACGGAAGGCAGCAGUGGGGAAUAUUGCACAAUGGGCGCAAGCCUGAUGCAGCCAUGCCGCGUGUAUGAAGAAGGCCUUCGGGUUGUAAAGUACUUUCAGUCGUGAGGAAGGUGUUAAGGUUAAUAACCUUAGCAAUUGACGUUAGCGACAGAAGAAGCACCGGCUAACUCCGUGCCAGCAGCCGCGGUAAUACGGAGGGUGCGAGCGUUAAUCGGAAUUACUGGGCGUAAAGGGCACGCAGGCGGUUAAUUAAGUUGGAUGUGAAAUCCCCGGGCUUAAACCUGGGAAUGGCAUUCAAGACUGGUUAGCUAGAGUCUUGUAGAGGGGGUAGAAUUCCAUGUGUAGCGGUGAAAUGCGUAGAGAUGUGGAGGAAUACCGGUGGCGAAGGCGGCCCCUGGACAAAGGACUGACGCUCAUGUGCGAAAGCGUGGGGA